rnacentral:pre_miRNA from 1 species
AAUAAACCAAAAUUUUACUUUUUGCCUAUAAUUUUUGACUUUUCGUCUUAUUCAAAAUUUUUUUACAAUUGAUAUUUUUAUUUUUAUUAAUAAUAAAUCAUAAAUAGUACUUUAUGUGUGACUAAUUUUUUUCUAAUUUCCUGAAAACUUUUCAAAUAAGACGGAUGGUCAAAUGAUGGACACGAAAACCAGAGAAUUCUCUGGUU